CAAAUGGAGCAAAUGGUAGGGGGCUUCUCCUUGAAGGUCCUACAUUUCAUAGAAAGAUCCAGAAAAGAAGAAUCAUGCUUCUGAUGAGGUGCCCCGGGCUCACCUUCCACUGUUUGUGCAGCUUCCUGACUGCUUCCUGCAGCCCCUGUUGCUCCUGCUCUGGGAGGAUGUCUGUGAGUUCAUCACAAGCUUUCAGGAAAGCAUUGAGGACCCUCUGAUCCAGCUGGCUGAAAAACUCCUGAGGUGGAAGGGAGAGCAGGUUUCAUGAGCCACAACAAGCAGACUCACGGUGUGUCUCCGCAGAAGUUCUUCAGGGUCUCCCUUCUCUUCCAGGCUCUCCUGAGCG